CCUACCUGCAGUAAGAGGGGUUCUCGGGACGCACGUACACGUGUUGGUCAUAAUGAAUCUUCAUCGCUGGAAAAACUAAAGGACGAACUUGCAGCCAGACUAUCUGCAGUUCUGUUGCCAUAUUUAUGAGUUACGGUUAUGUUGGCCAUACAAAACACAGAGAAACUGCCAGCAGCUGCUCAUUAGCUAUGGAGCCGAUUUCUCACCCGUCACCCCCCGUGACUCCACCCACAUUCUGUUACCAUGGCGGUUACCAUGUCAACGCCAAAAGUUUCAUCUUAGGGUUUCGGUCAACCCCACUGGCAUGUAGCAGACAUUAACUGUCUCUCUCCUCAUCUCUCCACAUCUGGAUCAUAUUGUCAUCACAAGCGUGUCUACAGUGUCUUGUGCCAUGCUGAAAGAAGAUGUUGACCUUUGACCUCUGCCUUGGAGUGCUGAAGUACAAUGACCUGUGACCCUUAGGGUUAUGGAUGAAUGAGGUGUGGUGAACGCUCAAAACGGGAUGACAGGAAAGCUAAACGACAGCUUGUCAGCAUGGACUUUUUCACAGCUCUAACAAGAGACUCUAUCUCUGUCUGAUCUGUCCAAACAAACUCACAAACACUUAGCAAAGAAUUCACUGAGAAUAAAUGGAUACCACGGAUCGAGCCGUUUAUGCUC
ensembl:lncRNA